UGGAGCUACAUACUACUCCAACCCAUGUGACUUACCACUGUUGCCUCGGCAGAAAAAUUGCUGGGCGAACCUACCCGGGAACUGGCUACCCUGUAGCUACCCUGGAGCGGCCUACCCUGCAACGAUCUGCCGGUGGACUACUAAACUCUUGUUAUUUUUAAGUAAUCUGAGCGUCUUAUUUUAAUAAGUUAAAACUUUCAACAACGGAUCUCUUGGUUCUGGCAUCGAUGAAGAACGCAGCGAAAUGCGAUAAGUAAUGUGAAUUGCAGAAUUCAGUGAAUCAUCGAAUCUUUGAACGCACAUUGCGCCCAUUAGUAUUCUAGUGGGCAUGCCUGUUCGAGCGUCAUUUCAACCCUUAAGCCUAGCUUAGUAUUGGGAGCUUGCUUUACUGCAACUCCUCAAAUUCAACGGCGGAUUUAUAGCAAUCUCUGAACGUAGUAAUUUUUAUCUCGUUUUUGAAAUACUAUAAACCUCAGCCGCUAAACCCCCAAACUUUUCUAUGGUUGACCUCGGAUCAGGUAGGAAUACCCGCUGAACUUAAGCAUAUCA
rnacentral:rRNA from 1 species